GAUCCUGGCUCAGGAUGAACGCUAGCUACAGGCUUAACACAUGCAAGUCGAGGGUAAACGACAUCGAAAGCUUGCUUUUGAUGGGCGUCGACCGGCGUACGGGUGAGUAACGCGUAUCCAACCUGCCCAUCACUUGGGGAUAACCUUGCGAAAGUAAGACUAAUACCCAAUGACGUCUCUAGAAGACAUCUGAAAAGGGAUUAAAGAUUUAUCGGUGAUGGAUGGGGAUGCGUCUGAUUAG
rnacentral:rRNA from 1 species